rnacentral:rRNA from 1 species
GACGAACGCUGGCGGCGUGCUUAACGCAUGCAAGUCGAACGGAAAGGCCCUGCUUUUGUGGGGUGCUCGAGUGGCGAACGGGUGAGUAACACGUGAGUAACCUGCCCUUGACUUUGGGAUAACUUCAGGAAACUGGGGCGAAUACCGGAUAGGAUCUCCUGCUGCAUGGGGGUGGUUGGAAAGUUUCGGCGGUUGGGGAUGGACUCGCGGCUUAUCAGCUUGUUGGUGGGGUAGUGGCUUACCAAGGGUUUGACGGGUAGCCGGCCUGAGAGGGUGACCGGCCACAUUGGGCCUGAGAUACGGCCCAGACUCCUACGGGAGGCAGCAGUGGGGAAUAUUGCACAAUGGGCGGACGCCUGAUGCAGCAACGCCGCGUGCGGGAUGACGGCCUUCGGGUUGUAAACCGAUUUCGCCUGUGACGAAGCGUGAGUGACGGUACUGGGUAAAGAAGCACCGGCUAACUACGUG